UACAGAGGUCUCAAGCGUUGUUCGGAUUCAUUGGGCGUAAAGGGCGCGUAGGCGGGUCGGUAAGUCAGGGGUGAAAUCCCACGGCCCAACCGUGGAAGUGCCUCUGAUACUGCCGGCCUCGAGGGGAUAGGGGCGUGCGGAACUCAGGGUGGAGCGGUGAAAUGCGUAGAUAUCUGGAGGAAUACCGGUGGCGAAGGCGGCAUCCUGGACCGGCAUUGACGCUGAUGAGCGAAAGCUAGGGGAGCAAACGGG
rnacentral:rRNA from 1 species